UCAAUACUAACCGAAACCGGAAGUACACUUGAGGGGGUUAUCUUGUUUCUCCUCGCCCGCUUCCGUUCUGCGUCUGUUUGUAAACAUGCGUCAGCAGCACGUGAUCCUGUGGACGUAUUUGUAAGUGUGGCCCAAUCAGAAAGCGGGGGUGUGUGCCGGUGGGCGUGGCCGGAGAGUGUUGCUGUGAAAAUGUCGAUGGACAGAGGUUUUCGUGAGGGCAGGGGACCACUCCGGAUUCUGGGGCGGCGAGGAGGGGCUGCAGGAGAGCGGUGGCCGCAGGUGUCACGGCGGUGCCGCAGUGAGAAAGACGUUCAGCCAAGAUGGAAUCUUUCCUUUAGAAAAUCUGUCCCUGCACUGCACACCGGAUGAUAUCUGCCUAAGGUUACCGUAUUUUAUUGUUAUAUUUGCAUAAUCUUAAAAUGUACAGAUGGGCUUGGAGGUUUUGGCUCAUUUGGUUGUUUUUUUUGUUUGUAUCCAGAGGUAAAGCCAGCAGAGCUGACCUGGCUGCUUUCCAACACCAGAUAUGAAGAUAUAGGAAGUGGCAGAGUUGAAAAAUGACGUGGCUAAAAUGAACACAACCCUCCGCUGGACAAGGAGCCCAAAUAGGAGACGGGAAGAACCCCCAUCUGAGAGUCAACACACGUGUCACAGUAAAAAAACAUUUUUUAUUUAAGGUUUUAAAUGACAGCUAGCUGGAAAGAUCCAGGCAAUGUUAUUUACUUCCUGGAUGAGGCAUGCUUGAAAUAAAAAAGAAACCUGGAGCUAACUCAGUUCCACAAGUAACCACUAGGGGACUUUUUGAAAAAACAAGCCAGUUUCUAUUGCUGUGUAAACCAGGCAAACUUUAAGUUUGUCCGAAAAAUGUUUCUAUUUUUGUGUUUAGUUUAUAGUGGGGUUAUUUGGUAAACUGGAUCAUUUAUUUGAUAUUUUCGAUAUAAAGGGGGCGUGGCCUCUGAUAUGCCUCCUAUAUUCAGCUUUAGGACUUUUGUGGGUGGAUCCUUUGCUCCUCCUGUUUGAUUUUUACCAGAAGCUCAGGUCUUAGUGAUGUCACAUCCUGCCAGGAUGGCUACAACUGACAAACCAGGUUUAAAGUCCCACUCUGACCAUCGUUUAAUUUAUUGUAAAAGCUUUCCAGUUCUCUUUGUCUUGGAAUUAGGCAGUUUUUAGCCAAAAUAAUAAAUAAAAAACCUGUUGUUUCAGAGUGGCAGUAGUUUAUUGGAAAUUUGGCUUAGAGUUGUGGGCGGGACCAUUGGUGUGGAGCAACCCCACCCCCCUUCCCCUCCCCAUUGCUGAGCGGCAUUUUUUCAUUUGCUCCUCAUUCACAGCGAUUUGAAUAAAGAAAUACUUGAGCCUAACUUACUACAUACACAUGUAUGUCCUCCAUCAGGAGAAAAAUGCAACAAGAACAUGUUAAAAACACCAAAAACAUCAUUUUCAGCAGUGUAAGGUUAAAAUAAACAAGCAAAAGAUAGAUACUAAGAUAGAUACUAACCAAGCAGAGAUGAAUCCAAUCUACUGCACUGAAAUAAACAGAAGCUACUUAAUGAUUUUGUCUACACCCUUAUCUAAUCUGACAGAGAAUCCUGUCCUUCUAUAAAAACAUGCAGACGCAGUGAUUAGCGCUGGGAGCUCCGAUCUGCAUCUGCCAGCCUGCAGCCUGCAGACCGGGUUUGACCCCUGCAGUCCCUUCAUGGCUCCAGGAAGGGGGGGGUUCAGACCCUAAAGACACAUUAAAGUUGGCUUCAUUGGGGGAAUUAAAAACACUAAAACAAAGCUGGUUGGUGAGGCUGCAGAUCCACACCUGCAUUGAUUUGUUUAAAGGUUUAAAGGAAAUGAUGGAUUCUGUAUUUAUUACCCUUUCAUCAGCUCCCAACGUGACGUGUUUCACUUUUCCUUUUUCAAGCUCACAGUCUAAAAAGAACGGCUCCUAAUGAAAACAAAUGAAGAAACAAGCCGGUUCCUCCCCCCCCCCCCCCCCCCCCCCCCCCCCCCCCCCAGCAUUGCUGUCCCGUCAACACGGAAACAAAAGGAUCAUCUGAUCAAGGUAUGUGAACGAUCAGAUAAACUGUAACCCAAAUUCUUAAAAUAAACGCAGCUAACAAACCGAAAUAGGCUAUUUAUAAGAGCCGUUUCUUUUAAAGACACAGAGAACAACUUUCACUCAAAUCUGUUUUAAUCAGAAGAUGUUUUGCUUUAUUUCCUUUAGGUCAGAGAAGAAGAAGAAGAAGAGGUGGUGGUGGUGGUGGGGGGGUCCUUUUAUUGCGUAGAAAUUGCGGUAAAAUAAAUGCGGCAACAGGAAGGAAAAGAGAAACAUUUCCCUUUAUGGGUCGUGGUGAGGUGACGCUGUGUAUAUUGAGGGGCGGGAUCAUCUUCAUCGAGCUGCAUUUAAAAAAAAAAAAAAAAAAAGGCCACAUUAUGCAACGGAUGCUGGUGAUGUGCCUUUAAAAGCAGUGGGCUGUCAGGUGAUCGGGGAGGCAGCUCUGCCUCGCAGACAGAGGAGUCGGAGUGUGGUGUCUCUGCCCGAGAGCGGAGCGGAGAGGAGAGCGCCGGGGGAGGAGGAGGAGACCCAAUUAUAAGCGCACAUGGGGGGGAAAUGGGGACACAAGGACGUCACAGAGCAGAGGAGGGGAGAGUGCAAGGUGGAAGGGUCCCUUUAACUGCAGUUUUGCUCAGUUUUGGCAGCUAGCUCAGCUGGAUGAAGCAGCUCUGUGGCGUCAAACAGCCAGAAUUAAGUGCUGCGUCACAAUCAGGAAGAGGGCCGGCGCCAUGGCCGCUCUCGCCGCUGUGGGUUCGGUUCUGCUGCUCUGUCAGACAGAGUUGGAAGUCUAAACAGCAGCUGUAACGUGGUGGGGUUGGGGGGUGGAGAGAGAGUUUCUCUGGCAGGAGGGAGGGAGGCAGAGCAAGUCAGAGACCGAGAGAUUUGGGAUUAGUUGCUACGUCACUUUUUCACGUCGGAGGAAGCAGAAGCCGAGAUGACAGGAGAACCGUCGGUCCCCACCUGAAGUGGACGCCGCGGUGGGUUUUUGGACCGCCUGGACUUCCUCCUCCUGGCUAGUUUUGGUUUGACAUGUGUUUGGAUGCUGAGGCUGUGACACACUUUCACUAGCU
ensembl:lncRNA